GUAGGUGGCAAGCGUUGUCCGGAAUUAUUGGGCGUAAAGCGCGCGCAGGUGGUUCUUUAAGUCUGAUGUGAAAGCCCCCGGCUCAACCGGGGAGGGUCAUUGGAAACUGGGGAACUUGAGUGCAGGAGAGGAAAGUGGAAUUCCACGUGUAGCGGUGAAAUGCGUAGAUAUGUGGAGGAACACCAGUGGCGAAGGCGACUUUCUGGCCUGUAACUGACACUGAGGCGCGAAAGCGUGGGGAGCAAACAGGGAUUAGAUACCCUGGUAGUCCACGCCGUAAACGAUGAGUGCUAAGUGUUGGGGGGGUUUCCCGCCCCUCAGUGCUGCAGCUAACGCAUUAAGCACUCCGCCUGGGGAGUACGGUCGCAAGACCG
rnacentral:rRNA from 1 species